UACGUAGGGUCCGAGCGUUGUCCGGAAUUAUUGGGCGUAAAGAGCUCGUAGGUGGUGUGUCGCGUCGGAUGUGAAAGCCCGGGGCUUAACCCCGGGUCUGCAUUCGGUACGGGCAUGCUGGAGUUCGGUAGGGGAGACUGGAAUUCCUGGUGUAGCGGUGAAAUGCGCAGAUAUCAGGAGGAACACCGGUGGCGAAGGCGGGUCUCUGGGCCGAUACUGACACUGAGGAGCGAAAGCGUGGGGAGCGAACAGG
rnacentral:rRNA from 1 species